CAGCGAACGUCUCAGUGCGCCCCACGUGGAUUCCGACCGCACGAACUUCGGGUUACCAAUUUCUCCGUCGGGCCUAACCUCCAAUAAAGGCAAGCUAAGACAAAAGGAGGUCUGUACUCGGUUCUCUACUUCGAGGGUUUACUGGAAAUUUUCGAGCUGCAGAAAUGGGGAAUCAACCGAAUACUCCUUCCAACAAUCAGAGAGCGACUACCGUGUUUGAUCUCGACGUUGAUGCUCUGUCCCGCUGCGUGCGAAAUCUAAGCCUUCAAGACCUCUCGAGGAUGGCCAUGACCUGCAAAUUCUUCCGGGGAGUCGCAUAUUCCGAUUCGAUCUGGCAUGGUUGGCUAAGGGAACAUUGCCCGCAACAGUAUACAUCAUCUAGCUUUUCACAAAUUUCAGGAGUUAGGGAAGCAUAUUUGGCUAGGCGUACUGCAUUGCACCAAUUUAAAUUUCAUGAUCCUUUAACUAGGUAUCUCCUUGAGAAUCCAACACCUUGCAGCCAUAUCUUGCUGGACAAAAACCAUGUCUAUCUUGCACAGGGUUCAUCUGUAUUCCUAAUGGAGGAUGCUUUUUCUGGUGACAAAUUUCCUUCGGAAGGAAAAAUGCAAUGGGCUCACAAUGCAAGAAUCACAUGUAUGAGACUUUUUUCCAAUAAGGACACUUGGUUUCAAAGUGAGGCACAAAAUAAUGAUAAUGUUUUGGUAACCUCAAGCAGCGACUGGACCAUUCGUUUAUGGUGGAAGGGCCGUUCCCAACGUUGUCUUAGGGGUCGCAAUGGCCCAGUUACCACCCUCGCAGAUAAGCUGCUUGGUGAUUCUAGUGGAGAAGUACUAGCAAGUGGAGGACAAGAUGGUACCGUUCGUCUCUGGUCCCUUGGCUCUAGCGGCAAGCGUGGAAAACGUGCUUUAAAAACUACACUUCAUGGGCAUGAGAAACCUGUAACAUUGUUGUCAGUUCCUGGGCAUAAUCCUUCUCUUUUGGUGAGUGUUUCAAAAGAUGCAAAGGUGAGGGUUUGGGAUACAAGUGCAUCUUCAGGGGCUCGUUCCUCAGGGUGUGUGGGAAUGGCAUGUGUGCAUGGUGCACUUGUUGGUAUAAAAUGUCAUGAAGCACUAUGUUAUAUUGCUGCUGGCUCUUCAGUUACUGCAAUUGAUUUAAGGACAAUGCGAAAGGUUUCGACUGCAGCCAUUCACCAGCCCAAGCUAUACUCUUUUGAGUCAUUACCCUCCAAAUCCUUAAUCUGCACAGGUGGAGAUGACAAAACGAUGUUAUGGGAUAUUAGAAAAAAUCAAGAGAAACCAAAGCCGGUGGCGAUUAUGGAUGGCCACUCAGGUUAUGUAGCUCAUAUACACAUGGAUCCGUACAAGAUAGUCACUGGAGGACCAGAGGAUUUGUAUGUGAAGGUUUGGGAGACUGAUACAGGUAUCCUAGCGAAUUCUUUUACUUGCUGCAUACCCGAUUUCGAGGAAUCUAGUGGUGGGUUGUUGGCCAUGUCUGUAAAGGGUUGCCGGAUUGUUACAAGUAGUUGGUGCCUAGAACCAGGCCUCCUAGAACCAGGCCUCAUAUGCUUUAGGGACUUCACCAAUGCUUCUAAUCCACUUUCUUCAAGCGAGUGCAGUUCCACUACCAAGUUUUGGGAAUCGGAAUUUAGCUUUGAUGGCUGAAUGCUUUGUUGGGCUUGUGUAACAAGAUCAAUAAACUUGGCUGUUGUAAAGGUGUCAACUGCAUAAUUAUUAAGUGUACCUAAAACAAUACCUGUCAAUGAGGCAAAGGAGCUAUAUGAUCCUCAAGAAGAUGUGGUUCUGUGACCUGUGGUGAUGAAUUCUGUGGCCCUACCAUUGAAUGACUAUCGUCUACAACUCUCUGACUUUGGAGAUCCAAGCAUCUUAUCUUUGGAUUCUUUUCAAUUGAACAUGGCUUCUUGUCAUACCUACAUUCUCAUUCAUUUCUCAUUCAUCCAUUAGCAGGUUGCAAUUUGACAGUUUAGGCUUGCUGAAGGUUUUUGUGGUAUGGUCCGUCCAUCAGAUCAAUGGUCUGAAUCAUCAAACUAUGGGCCCCACUUGGUUGAGAUAGAUUAUAGGAU